rnacentral:tRNA from 1 species
GGGGCCAUAGCUCAGUUAGGAGAGCGCCUGCCUUGCAAGCAGGAGGUCGUCGGGGCGGUUCCGACUGGCUCCA